rnacentral:snRNA from 1 species
ACACUUAUUUGGACGUGUCAAUGGGUCAUCCUGAAAACCCAUGGCCCAAGUUAGUGACUUUCAUAGCACUUUGGAGGGAUAUUCGUUUAAGAUCGGCCCAAGUGAUCGAGCCCACGUCAUUACUUGCAAAAGUGGGGCCGUUGUUUGUGCGGGCCUUA